GCCGUCGUAGCAUAAUGGUAGUGCGUUGCCCUCCUAAGCUGCUUAGGAGCGCAGGCAAAGGCUGUGGGUUCGAGUCCCACCGUCGGUA